rnacentral:rRNA from 1 species
CACGUAGGGCGCAAGCGUUGUCCGGAAUUAUUGGGCGUAAAGAGCUCGUAGGCGGUCUGUCGCGUCGGCUGUGAAAACCCGGGGCUCAACCCCGGGCCUGCAGUCGAUACGGGCAGACUAGAGUGCGGUAGGGGAGACUGGAAUUCCUGGUGUAGCGGUGAAAUGCGCAGAUAUCGGGAGGAACACCGGUGGCGAAGGCGGUUCUCUGGGCCUGUACUGACGCUGAGGAGCGAAAGCGUGGGGAGCGAACAGG